rnacentral:tRNA from 1 species
GCUCCCGUAGUGUAGCGGCCAAUCAUUCGGCCCUCUCGAGGCCGGGACUCGGGUUCAAAUCCCGACGGGAGCACCA